UUAAGCGACUAAGCGUACACGGUGGAUGCCUAGGCAAUCAGAGGCGAUGAAGGACGUGCUAAUCUGCGAUAAGCGUCGGUAAGGUGAUAUGAACCGUUAUACCCGACGAUUUCCGAAUGGGGAAACCCAGUGCAAUCCGUUGCACUAUCGUUUGAUGAAUACAUAGUCAAACGAAGCGAACCGGGGGAACUGAAACAUCUCAGUACCCCGAGGAAAAGAAAUCAACCGAGAUUCCCCUAGUAGCGGCGAGCGAACGGGGAGCAGCCCAGAGUCUUAAUCAGCAUUAGUAUCAGGAGAACGGUCUGGAAAGUCCGGCAGUAAAGGGUGAUAGCCCCGUAUCUGAAGAUAUUAGUGUUGUGAACUCGACGAGUAGGGCGGGACACGUGUUAUCCUGUCUGAAUAUGGGGGGACCAUCCUCCAAGGCUAAAUACUCCUGAUUGACCGAUAGUGAACCAGUACCGUGAGGGAAAGGCGAAAAGAACCCCGGCGAGGGGAGUGAAAUAGAACCUGAAACCGUGUACGUACAAGCAGUGGGAGCCUUGAUUUAUCAGGGUGACUGCGUACCUUUUGUAUAAUGGGUCAGCGACUUAUAUUCUGUAGCAAGGUUAACCGUAUAGGGGAGCCGUAGGGAAACCGAGUCUUAACUGGGCGAAUGAGUUGCAGGGUAUAGACCCGAAACCCGGUGAUCUAGCCAUGGGCAGGUUGAAGGUUGGGUAACACUAACUGGAGGACCGAACCGACUAAUGUUGAAAAAUUAGCGGAUGACUUGUGGCUGGGGGUGAAAGGCCAAUCAAACCGGGAGAUAGCUGGUUCUCCCCGAAAGCUAUUUAGGUAGCGCCUCGUGAACUCAUCUUCGGGGGUAGAGCACUGUUUCGACUAGGGGGUCAUCCCGACUUACCAACUCGAUGCAAACUACGAAUACCGAAGAAUGUUAUCACGGGAGACACACGGCGGGUGCUAACGUUCGUCGUGAAGAGGGAAACAACCCAGACCGCCAGCUAAGGUCCCAAAGUCAUAGUUAAGUGGGAAACGAAGUGGGAAGGCUCAGACAGCCAGGAUGUUGGCUUAGAAGCAGCCAUCAUUUAAAGAAAGCGUAAUAGCUCACUGGUCGAGUCGGCCUGCGCGGAAGAUGUAACGGGGCUAAACUAUGCACCGAAGCUGCGGCAGCGAUAUGUAAAUAUUGUUGGGUAGGGGAGCGUUCUGUAAGCCUGUGAAGGUGUGCUGUGAGGUAUGCUGGAGGUAUCAGAAGUGCGAAUGCUGACAUAAGUAACGAUAAUGCGGGUGAAAAACCCGCACGCCGGAAGACCAAGGGUUCCUGUCCAACGUUAAUCGGGGCAGGGUGAGUCGACCCCUAAGGCGAGGCAGAAAUGCGUAGUCGAUGGGAAACGGGUUAAUAUUCCCGUACUGGUGAUAAUUGCGAUGGGGGGACGGAGAAGGCUAGGCUGGCCGGGCGACGGUUGUCCCGGUUUAAGGAUGUAGGCAGGUGAAUUAGGCAAAUCCGGUUCACUAUAUGCUGAGGUCUGAUGACGAGUCACUACGGUGGCGAAGUAGCUCAUGCCCCGCUUCCAGGAAAAGCCUCUAAGCUCUAGAUUAUCAUUAAUCGUACCCCAAACCGACACAGGUGGUCAGGUAGAGAAUACUCAGGCGCUUGAGAGAACUCGGGUGAAGGAACUAGGCAAAAUGGUGCCGUAACUUCGGGAGAAGGCACGCUGGCGCUAGGUGAAGUGGUUUACCCAUGGAGCUGAAGCCAGUCGCAGAUACCAGCUGGCUGCAACUGUUUAUUAAAAACACAGCACUGUGCAAACACGAAAGUGGACGUAUACGGUGUGACGCCUGCCCGGUGCUGGAAGGUUAAUUGAUGGGGUUAUCCGUAAGGAGAAGCUCUUGAUCGAAGCCCCAGUAAACGGCGGCCGUAACUAUAACGGUCCUAAGGUAGCGAAAUUCCUUGUCGGGUAAGUUCCGACCUGCACGAAUGGCGUAAUGAUGGCCAGGCUGUCUCCACCCGAGACUCAGUGAAAUUGAACUCGCUGUGAAGAUGCAGUGUACCCGCGGCAAGACGGAAAGACCCCGUGAACCUUUACUAUAGCUUGACACUGAACAUUGAGCCUUGAUGUGUAGGAUAGGUGGGAGGCUUUGAAGUGUGGACGCCAGUCUGCAUGGAGCCAACCUUGAAAUACCACCCUUUAAUGUUUGAUGUUCUAACGUUGCCCCGUUAUCCGGGGUGCGGACAGUGUCUGGUGGGUAGUUUGACUGGGGCGGUCUCCUCCCAAAGAGUAACGGAGGAGCACGAAGGUUGGCUAAGCAUGGUCGGACAUCAUGCGGUUAGUGCAAAGGCAUAAGCCAGCUUGACUGCGAGAGUGACGGCUCGAGCAGGUACGAAAGUAGGUCUUAGUGAUCCGGUGGUUCUGAAUGGAAGGGCCAUCGCUCAACGGAUAAAAGGUACUCCGGGGAUAACAGGCUGAUACCGCCCAAGAGUUCAUAUCGACGGCGGUGUUUGGCACCUCGAUGUCGGCUCAUCACAUCCUGGGGCUGAAGUAGGUCCCAAGGGUACGGCUGUUCGCCGUUUAAAGUGGUACGCGAGCUGGGUUUAGAACGUCGUGAGACAGUUCGGUCCCUAUCUGCCGUGGGCGUUGGAAGAUUGAAAGGGGCUGCUCCUAGUACGAGAGGACCGGAGUGGACGCACCACUGGUGUUCGGGUUGUCAUGCCAAUGGCAUUGCCCGGUAGCUAAGUGCGGAAGAGAUAACCGCUGAAAGCAUCUAAGCGGGAAACUUGCCUUGAGAUGAGUCUUCCCUGACCCUUUAAGGGUCCUAAAGGAACGUUUAAGACUAAGACGUUGAUAGGUUGGGUGUGUAAGCAUAGCGAUAUGUUGAGCUAACCAAUACUAAUGAACCGUGAGGCUUAACCUG
rnacentral:rRNA from 1 species